AGACUGCUGUGCUAGCAAUCAGGGAGAUUCCGUGGGCGUAGGACCCUCCAAGCCAGGUGUGGGAUAUAGUCUAGUGGUGCGCCGUUUUUUAAGCCUGUCGGAAAAGCGCAGUAUUCUGGUGGGAGUGACCCGAUUUUCCAGGUGCCGUCCGUCACCCCUUUCUUUGACUAGGAAAGGGAACUCCGUGACCCCUUGCGCUUCCUGAGUGAGGCAAUGCCUCGCCCUGCUUCGGCUCUCGCACGGUGCGCGCUCCCACUGACCUGCGCCCACUGUCUGGCACUCCCUAGUGAGAUGAACCCGGUACCUCAGAUGGAAAUGCUGAAAUCACCCGUCUUCUGCGUCGCUCAGGCUGGGAGCUGUAGACCGGAGCUGUUCCUAUUCGGCCAUCUUGUCUCCUCCCCCCAGCCCACAACAGCCUAUGAAGAAUAACUAGAGGUCUUCAUAUCAGAGGCAGAAGGUACUGCAAGCUUACUUUCCAACGUGGCUGCAUCGUUUCACAUUCCCACCAGCAGUAUGAG
rnacentral:lncRNA from 1 species